AAAUUGAAGAGUUUGAUCAUGGCUCAGAUUGAACGCUGGCGGCAGGCCUAACACAUGCAAGUCGAACGGUAACAGGAAGCAGCUUGCUGCUUCGCUGACGAGUGGCGGACGGGUGAGUAAUGUCUGGGAAACUGCCUGAUGGAGGGGGAUAACUACUGGAAACGGUGGCUAAUACCGCAUAACGUCGCAAGACCAAAGAGGGGGACCUUCGGGCCUCUUGCCAUCAGAUGUGCCCAGAUGGGAUUAGCUUGUUGGUGAGGUAACGGCUCACCAAGGCGACGAUCCCUAGCUGGUCUGAGAGGAUGACCAGCCACACUGGAACUGAGACACGGUCCAGACUCCUACGGGAGGCAGCAGUGGGGAAUAUUGCACAAUGGGCGCAAGCCUGAUGCAGCCAUGCCGCGUGUAUGAAGAAGG
rnacentral:rRNA from 1 species